rnacentral:tRNA from 1 species
GUGGGUGUAGCUCAGGGGCAGAGCACCGGGUUGUGGCCCCGGCGGUCGAGGGUUCAAAUCCCUUCACUCACCCCA